rnacentral:rRNA from 1 species
AAUCAACGCUGGCGGCGUGCCUCAGACAUGCAAGUCGAACGAUUAAAGCUCUCUUCGGAGAGUGUAUAGAGUGGCGCACGGGUGAGUAACACGUAAGUAAUCUACCCUCGAGUGGGGAAUAACAACCGGAAACGGUUGCUAAUACCGCAUAAUGCAGCGGCACCGCAAGGUGACAGUUGUUAAAGAUUUAUCGCUUGAGGAGGAGCUUGCGGCAGAUUAGCUAGUUGGUAGGGUAACGGCUUACCAAGGCUACGAUCUGUAACCGGUCUAAGAGGACGGUCGGUCACACUGACACUGAAUAACGGGUCAGACUCCUACGGGAGGCAGCAGUCGGGAAUUUUGGGCAAUGGGCGAAAGCCUGACCCAGCAACGCCGCGUGAAGGAUGAAGUAUUUCGGUAUGUAAACUUCGAAAGAAUAGGAAGAAUUAAUGACGGUACUAUUUAUAAGGUCCGGCUAACUACGUGCCAGCAGCCGCGGUAAUACGUAGGGUGCAAGCGUUAAUCGGAAUUACUGGGCGUAAAGCGUGCGCAGGCGGUUCUAUAAGACAGAUGUGAAAUCCCCGGGCUCAACCUGGGAACUGCAUUUGUGACUGUAGAGCUAGAGUACGGUAGAGGGGGAUGGAAUUCCGCGUGUAGCAG